GCCCCCGUAGCUCAGUCGGUCAGAGCGUGGUACUUAUAAUGCCAAGGUCGCGGGUUCGAGCCCCGCUGGAGGCA
rnacentral:tRNA from 3 species